GACACUAUGGCCGAGUGGUUAAGGCGACAGAUUCGAAUUUCGUUCGCCAUCUGUUUCCCUUUGGGAGCGCAGGUUCAAAUCCUGCUGGUGUCG